GACGAACGCUGGCGGCGUGCUUAACACAUGCAAGUCGAACGGAAAGGCCCUGCUUUUGUGGGGUGCUCGAGUGGCGAACGGGUGAGUAACACGUGAGUAACCUGCCCUUGACUUUGGGAUAACUUCAGGAAACUGGGGCUAAUACCGGAUAGGAGCUCCUGCUGCAUGGUGGGGGUUGGAAAGUUUCGGCGGUUGGGGAUGGACUCGCGGCUUAUCAGCUUGUUGGUGGGGUAGUGGCUUACCAAGGCGUUGACGGGUAGCCGGCCUGAGAGGGUGACCGGACACAUUGGGACUGAGAUACGGCCCAGACUCCUACGGGAAGGAGCAGUGGGGAAUAUGGCACAAUGGGCGGAAGCCUGAUGCAGCACCGCCGCGUGCGGGAUAACGGCCUUCGGGUUGUAAACCGCUUUCGCCUGUGACGAAGCGUGAGUGACGGUAAUGGGUAAAGAAGCACCGGCUAACUACGUG
rnacentral:rRNA from 1 species